CAUCUGGUCCCAGGGGUGGACACAAGGAGCAUCUCCUUUCUCAUGGGUCAGACCUGGGAACAGAAAUCACGUUAGCACAGAGAUUUCUGCUCAGAGCCUGGAGCGCCGGAGUCUGGAUCACUGCCGCUCCAGUACGCAGGGGGGUCCAGCGACAGAGAGGGAUGGUGCUGAAGUGAUUGAAACUGUUAGGCCUGGCAGUGCGGAGGCAGCUGCAUAAUGAGGCGGGGUCUACAGGUGCCGGCUGGAUCAGAAAGGCUUUUGGCACACCAAAAAGAGAAAAACAAAUGAUGUCUGUUGAAGACAUUUCCACUUCCUCACUCCAUCAAGGAGUGCAGAUCCCAAAAGAGCACAAAAAAGGAGAUUCUUGCAAUAUUUCUGUCACAAUGGAACCAAGAAACACCCAAAUCUCACCAGGAAUCCCAUGCUUCUGGGGCAUCCAACUCUGUCUUCAGACCAAAGAGCUCCUGCGAGUAUCUAAACUUACCCAAGCAAACUCCUGAACACGUUGAAGUUCCUCCAUCAGAAACAUGGGCAUGGCCUUGUAUGGACCUGUAGAGAAGUGCAGGUCUGGAGUCCCUCUUCCACACUUACAGUCCAUGAAGAUGAAAGGGUGGAAUCAACCAUAAAUGACCAAUGCCCUGAUUACACACAAAAUCCACCAAUAUUUUGAAGCUGCGUGCCAGGGCAGAUCUGAAAACUGAGGACACUUCAGUACUGCUGGAGUGGGAGGGGUUAGAUGUGACCCAGCAGGUUCUUUCUAGCAAUGUGACUAUUUAAUGGCAUGAUUGUAAUAAAUACUGAAUACUAAGAAGUUGCCCUUUUCUGGCAUCUUUCACCAAGGAUCUUAAAGGGCUGUACAGACCUUGAUUAACAAAGCCCCACAAACCCACCUCCCAGUGAGGUAAGUACAGGUUUUGCCUAUUUUAUAGAUGGGGAAACUGAGGCAUAGAGUGGUGCCGUGACUUGCCCAAGGUAUCCCAGCAAAGCUAGUGGCAGAGCCAGGUAUAGAAUCCAGCUGUCUUGAUCUCUCUGCUCUAACCACUGCAUGACUCUACUGCCCUGCUUUUGCAGAAUGGAAGGGAGCCUAAAAACGUAAAUAUUGUCUGUCUGUGUCUGAUUGGAGCAAGAAACCAGAACUGGGAAUCGCUGAUUUGAGGGGCAAGAGGGUGGAAAUGAGACACGUCUCAGCACAAAGACUGUUAUUCUUGACACAAACUGCACAACAUUCUUGCAUCUCUCUGAUGCUUUGGAAUCCGGAGCCGUGCACAUCUCCGCUGUCAGUCCAGCAGAAAUAAAAGCUGAGAACAUGAUGCUGCUUUCUCUAAACCGAGCCUGACCUAUCUGCGUUUGAAACUCAGUGCUGGGAAAGCAAAAUCCACGAUUAGCUGCCAAAUGACAGGGUAUUCAGACCAUCUGGAAUACAGGGUGAUUUUCUGCUUUAAGCCCAUUGUCUUCUAUCCAUGUAGCAGGAAGGCCAUUUAGAGACUAGACUAGGAAUCCACUGGCUCCCCAUCUGACAAGCAGAAGAAAGCUUUGCAGUGGAUUAUAAACUUUCAGGAGCUGUGGUGGUUCAUACCCUCAGGGGAUCUGGUCCUUUGCACGGUGCUCCCCGUGGGGCUCAGUUUUGCUAUGUCUGCACUGGGAGUAGGGUCAGGAUCUGAGCCUGGGCUCAGUCAGUGUGGUGCUGAGAUCCUCAGCUGCAACUGAAAUCAAAGGUGGAGGAAGGAGCUCUGCAGUCCCAGGGGUUACUCUCAGCACUCUGCAGGACGGGGCCUGGAAGGACCACAGGGCUUGUGCCCUCUAGUUGCUGUGUGCUGGCCUGGGUGAAAUGAUUUGCUGAUCUCAGCCCAGGGGCCUGCGUUGCACAAACACCAUGGCCUGGCCCUGGCGGUCCGUCCCAGCAGAGAGCCCAAGGGCUCCAAGACUGAACUCCCUCAAGGGUGGCCCCUGCAGGUCAGGGAUGAUGCACAGAGGGGAACAGAGCAGGGGACACUUGCACCAGCUGUGCCCAGGCUGUGAACUCUGCUCUCUAAUGAUCAAAUUCUGACUCCUGUCGCCAGCGU